CUAGCACUUUCAGUGUUCGAGUUGUAAUUUGAAGAAGGUAUCUUUGGAGUUGGCCCCUGUCUAUGUUCCUUGGAACAGGACGUCACAGAGGGUGAGAAUCCCGUGCGAUGGGGAGACCAAUUCUAUGUAAAGUUCCUUCGAAGAGUCGAGUUGUUUGGGAAUGCAGCUCUAAGUGGGUGGUAAAUUCCAUCUAAAGCUAAAUAUUGGCGAGAGACCGAUAGCGAACAAGUACAGUGAUGGAAAGAUGAAAAGAACUUUGAAAAGAGAGUGAAAAAGUACGUGAAAUUGUUGAAAGGGAAGGACUUUUGAUCAGACUUGGUGUUUAGUACUCUCUACUCCUUGUGGGUGGGGCUCUUGCUUUAUACUGGGCCAGCAUCGGUUUGGGUGGCAGGAUAAUGGCAAUUGGAAAUGUGGCUUCAUUCGUGGAGUGUUAUAGCCUUUGUUGAUACUGCCUAUCUAG
rnacentral:rRNA from 1 species